AGAGUUUGAUCCUGGCUCAGGACGAACGCUGGCGGCGCGCCUAACACAUGCAAGUCGAACGGAGCUUAGAGAGCUUGCUUUUUAAGCUUAGUGGCGAACGGGUGAGUAACGCGUGAGUAACCUGCCCUAGAGUGGGGGACAACAGUUGGAAACGACUGCUAAUACCGCAUAAGCCCACGGUACCGCAUGGCACUGAGGGAAAAGGAUUUAUUCGCUUUAGGAUGGACUCGCGUCCAAUUAGCUAGUUGGUGAGGUAACGGCCCACCAAGGCGACGAUUGGUAGCCGGACUGAGAGGUUGAACGGCCACAUUGGGACUGAGACACGGCCCAGACUCCUACGGGAGGCAGCAGUGGGGGAUAUUGCACAAUGGGGGAAACCCUGAUGCAGCGACGCCGCGUGGAGGAAGAAGGUUUUCGGAUUGUAAACUCCUGUCGUUAGGGACGAUAAUGACGGUACCUAACAAGAAAGCACCGGCUAACUACGUGCCAGCAGCCGCGGUAAAACGUAGGGUGCAAGCGUUGUCCGGAAUUACUGGGUGUAAAGGGAGCGCAGGCGGGAAGACAAGUUGGAAGUGAAAACCAUGGGCUCAACCCAUGAAUUGCUUUCAAAACUGUUUUUCUUGAGUAGUGCAGAGGUAGAUGGAAUUCCCGGUGUAGCGGUGGAAUGCGUAGAUAUCGGGAGGAACACCAGUGGCGAAGGCGGUCUACUGGGCACCAACUGACGCUGAGGCUCGAAAGCAUGGGUAGCAAACAGGAUUAGAUACCCUGGUAGUCCAUGCCGUAAACGAUGAUUACUAGGUGUUUUGGGGGGAUUGACCCCCUCAAGUGCCGCAGUUAACACCAAUAAGUAAUCCACCCUGGGGGAGUACGACCCGCAAGGGUUGAAACUCCAAAGGAAUUUGACGGGGGGCCCGCACAAGCAAUUGGAAGUAAUGUGGGUUUUAUAUUCGAAGCAACCGCCGAAGAAACCUUACCAGGUCUUGACAUCCGAUGCAUAGCACAGAGAUGUGUGAAAUCCUUCGGGACAUCGAGACAGGUGGUGCAUGGUUGUCGUCAGCUCGUGUCGUGAGAUGUUGGGUUAAGUCCCGCAACGAGCGCAACCCUUAUUGCCAGUUACUACGUUAAGAGGACUCUGGCGAGACUGCCGUUGACAAAACGGAGGAAGGUGGGGAUGACGUCAAAUCAUCAUGCCCUUUAUGACCUGGGCUACACACGUACUACAAUGGCGUUAAACAAAGAGAAGCAAGACCGCGAGGUGGAGCAAAACUCAAAAACAACGUCUCAGUUCAGAUUGCAGGCUGCAACUCGCCUGCAUGAAGUCGGAAUUGCUAGUAAUCGCGGAUCAGCAUGCCGCGGUGAAUACGUUCCCGGGCCUUGCACACACCGCCCGUC
rnacentral:rRNA from 1 species